AACGAACGCUGGCGGCGUGCCUAACACAUGCAAGUCGUGCGAGAAAGUUCCUUCGGGAGCGAGUAAAGCGGCGCACGGGUGAGUAACACGUAGGUAACCUGCCCCCCAGUCUGGAACAACUAGAGGAAACUCUAGCUAAUGCCGGAUGAGACCACGAUCCCCGUUCGGGGGGUUGCGGCCAAAGAUGGCCUCUACUUGUAAGCUAUCGCUGAGGGAUGGGCCUGCGGGCCAUUAGCUUGUUGGUGAGGUAACGGCUCACCAAGGCUGUGAUGGCUAGCUGGUCUGAGAGGAUGACCAGCCACACUGGGACUGAGACACGGCCCAGACUCCUACGGGA
rnacentral:rRNA from 1 species